rnacentral:tRNA from 1 species
UAGCUCAAUGGUAGAGCAUUUGCCUAGCAAGCCCCUGGGUUCAAUUCCCAG